rnacentral:lncRNA from 1 species
GAGCUGAGAUCGCGCCAUUGCACUCCAGCGUGGGUGACGAGCAAAACUCGGUCUCAAAAAAAAAAAAAAAAACAAGAGCCAGCAUUCUCACUGGUUCACUUGUUCAGUGAACAGGUAUUGCCGUGAAACGCCCCACAGGUGUGCCAGGUGGGGCUCAGAUGAAGCACAGGAAAUGGUGGCCGUGCCUCCCAUGGUUCCCCAGUGCCCUUCCUUGACUUUGGUUCUCAGCCAUGGCCACUUGUGGGAGUGUUGAUUGACGGGUCAGUGUCCUGCAGCUGCCAAAACAACACAAAUUUGCUCUCUUAGUUCCGGAGGCCAGAGUCCAAAGCUGGGCUUUCACCAGGGUAGUUUCCUUCUGGAGGCUCCGAAGGAGCAUCCGUGCCUUGCCUGCGUAGUGGCUGCGGUGCUCCUCGGCGCCCCUGGGCUGUGGCCUGCAAAGCCUGUUUCCACCUCCACCUUCACGCAGCUUCUCUCCUGUGCCUCUGUGUUCUCUUACAAGGACAUCUGUCGUUGAAAAUCCAGGAUGAUUCCUCAUUACAUCUGCAAAUGCCCUAUUUUCCAAACAAGGUCACUCUUGCUUGUUCCAGGGGUUAUAAUUUGGACACACCUUUUAGGGGCCGUCAUUUGACUACAACAAUUGAAUAAGAAACCCUAUAGUCCUGAGAAUAGAUGUGAAUUUUCUACAGAUGUUUUCCCAGCUGGCAGCCUAGGCUCCUUCGGUCAUGGAAGGAGCCUCGCACCCACCACCCUCCUCCGUGGCACAAACCUGCUGCACUUUGCUUGUGGGGAAAUGGGUCUUUAUUCCUGUGGAGGGCUAUGUGCGAUGCCUGGGAAAAGCUCGCAGCACGGCGUGUGCUUCAGGGUGGCUCGGGCUCCAGUCUCUGCUUUCCAGUGUGUCAUGGGCUCUCAACUGUACACAGCCUGUGCCCUGUUGGAUGCCACCUUUUUUUUUUUUUUUUUUGAGACAGAGUCUCACUCUCGCCCAGGCUGGAGUGUAGUGGUGCAAUCUCGGCGACUCACUGCAACCUCUGCCACCCAGGUUCAAGCAAUUCUCCUGCCUCAGCCUCCUGAGUAGCUGGGAUUACAGGCGCCUGCCACCGCACCCGGCUAAAUUUUGUAUUUUUAGUAGAGAUGGUUUCAUCAUCUUGGCCAGGCUGGUCUUGAACUCCUGACCUCGUGAUCACCUGCCUUGGCCUCCCAAAGUGCUGGGAUGACAGGCAUGAGCCACUGCGCCUGGCCUGGAUGCCACCUUCUUAGACACCACAUGAAUCCCCACUGCGCCUGGCCUGGAUGCCACCUUCUUAGACACCACAUGAAUCCCCAUGCACUGCUCCCCCUGCCUCUUACCACCACCAAACAGCUACUAGACACCUGAGGUGUCUGUCCUGUUAGUACCAUGGGGCGGAAAGAUACAAUACCUUUUUUCACCCAUAAGGGUGACAGCCAACACACCUAACAAACUACAGGUGAGCAAGAGAAAAGCAUUAACAAAUUUACUUAAUUAUUUGAGGCAAGCUCUCACUCUGUCUCCGAGACUGGAGCACAGUGGUGGGAUCACAGCUCACUGCAGCCUCAACCUCCCAAGCUCAGUCAAUCCUCCCACCUCAGCCUCCUGGGUAGCUGGGAUUACAGGCAUGCACCACCACGCCUAGCUAAUUUUUUGUAUUUUUGGUAGAAACGGGGUCUUGCUGUGUUGCCUAGGCUGGUCUUGAACUCCUUGCCUCAAUUGAUCCUUCUGCUUCAGCCCCCCAAAAUGCUGGGAUUACAGACAUGAGCCACCAUGCCCGGCCUAAAAGCAUAGCAAAUGUAUUAGUUUUACAUGACAGCCGGGCACGAUUGCUCACACCUGUAAUCCUAACACUUUGGGCGGCCAAGGUGGGCAGAUCGCUUGAGGCCAGAAGUUUGAGACCAGCCUGAGCAACAUGGUGAAACCCCUUCUCGACUAAAAAUACAAAAAUUAACCCGUCAUGGUGUUGCCUGCCUGUAAUCCCAGCUACUUGGGAGGUUGAGGCAGGAGACUCGCUUCAACCCAGAAGGUGGAGGUUGCAGUGAGCUGAGAUCAUGCACUGCACUCCAGCCUGGGUGACAGAUUGAGACUCCAUCUAAAAAAAAAUAAGUAAAGUUUUACAUGACGCAGGAGCCUUCAGCAAUAAAGACCCAGGGAAAACCUUUAUUAAUUAUUUAUUUUUGAGAUGGGAGUCUCGAUCUGUCACCCAGGCUGGAGUGUAGUGGCACAAUCUUUGCUCACUGUAACCUCUGCCUCCCAGGUUCAAGCGAUUCUGCUGCCUCAGCCUCCCGAGUAGCUGGGAUUACAUGUGUGUGCCACCACGCCCAGCUAAUUUUAGUAUUUUUAGUACAGACAGGGUUUCACCAUGUUGGCCAAGCUGGUCAUGAAGUCUUGACCUCAGGUGAUGCGCCCACCUCGGCCUCCCAAAGUGCUGAGAUUACAGGCGUGAGACACCGUGCCCGGCGUGAAAACCUUUAUUCUUAUAUUUAGGUUUGACGAGUGAACAGGCAUGCAGAAAUGUGGUUGGACACACAGGCUCUGGCCUAACGUCCGUCUAACUGGUGAUGGACACAGUGGGGAAACCCAGCAAGGCCACUGUGCACAAUUCCCCUUCCCCUGAGGAUAGGGCAGGACCCCUCGGGAAUGAGGGUCUUCCAGGGAGGAGGGAGUGACCUUGCUAGGUUUUAUGGCUGGCUUUGGGAGAGAGGAGUUCUAGUUUCUAUGACCUGCUGUGAGAAAAAGAAUUGUGGUUUCUGGGACUCACUUUGCGGCAGAAAAGUAGGCAGGAACCAGGAGGGAAGGACAAAGACCUGGCUUCUGAGGCCUUCCAGUCUCCUCUGGGUCAGAGUAGUCUGCAUGCCAAGGUGCCAUACUUUGGGGUUUAAUGAGCCCUGACAGCAGGUCCUUGCAGAUUUCACAGGCAACUUGUGAUCCCAGUAAUUGGGUUUCAGUCCCCCAAUUUCAGAGGACUUUAGCAAAGCCUGGUUGAAAUGGCCAAGUGUCGGCCGGGCACGGUGGCUCACGCCUAUAAUCCCAGCACUUUUGGAGGCCGAGGCAGGCAGAUCACGAGUUCAGGAGAUCGAGACCUGGCCAACACGGUGAAACCCUGUCUCUACUAAAAAUACAAAAACAUUAGCUGGGCGUGGUGGCAGGCGCCUGUAGUCCCAGCUACUCGGGAGGCUGAGGCAGGAGAAUGGCGUGAACCUGGGAGGUGGAGCUUGCGGUGAACCGAGAUGGUGCCACUGCACUCCAGCCUGGGCUACAGAGCGAGACUCCGUCUCAGAAAAAAAAAAAGAAAAGAAAUACCCACCGUGACUUUUGCUGUGAGGCAUGAAAAUAUAAGGAGGUAGGAGCCUGAGGUGCCUGUGGCCACCCGGCUGGAGGUGGGUGGGCCGCGCUUGUCAGCUUGCUUGGCGGAACGUUCCUUUAGUUGGGAGGGAGUGCCUUUCCUGAAGCAAUCCUUGGGCUGGACAUGCUGAUCCUGAAUGAGUCCUAAGAGUACGCGUUUCCCAAUACCCGGAGAAAACAGCAAGCCUGUGUUCCCAGCCAGCGCUGGUGGCAGCUGGGUUCCAGGCAGGUGGAGCCGACGUGGUCUGGAGCUGGCAGCCACACUCUGGCACCUCCUCAGGCGGUUUUCAAGGGUGGGUUCCAGCCAGGGAGCCCUAUGCAGGCGUGGCAUGGUGCCACGGGAGGACGGUCUCGGGGUGGGUGGAUAAGGACCCUCCUUGCCUGCUCCUGACAGGCCGUGUGCUGCAGGCCACUUUCAAUAACCCACGUUCUCAAAACCAUCAGGUCCCCACUUCGCUGGCACACAGUGUCAAUUGGGGUGUCCUGCAGGGUGGGUGAGGGGUGCUGGGGACUCCCCUGGCCUUGUCACCCAGACCCCCACCCAACCUUAGGGUCCCUGCACUCAGCGGCUGUUCUGGGGUGUAGGGACCAGCCCCACAGGGUCGGUGGGUCUCUCCCCAUGUGCAGAGAUGAGAGAGUGUAGAAAUAGAGACACAAGACAGAGAUGAAAGACAGCUGGGCCUGGGGGACCACUACCACCAAGUUGUGGAGACCGGUAGCGGCCCCGAAUGCCAGGCUGCACUGAUAUUAUUGGAUACAAGACAAAGGGGCAGUGUAAGGAAUGUGAGCCGUCUCCAAUGAUAGGUAAGGUCACGUGGGUCACGUGUCCACUGGACAGGGGGCCCUUCCCUGCCUGGCAGCCAAGGCAGAGAGAGAGAGAGGAGAAGGAGAGAAACAGCUUACAUUAUUAUUUCUGCUUAUCAGAGACUUUUAGUACUUUCACUAAUUUGCUACUGCUAACUAAACGGCAGAGCCAGGUGUACAGGAUGGAACGUGAAGGCGGACUAGGAGCGUGACCACUGAAGCACAGCAUCACAGGGAGACGGUUAGGCCUCCGGAUAACUGCGGGCGAGCCUGACUGAUGUCAGGCCCUCCACAGGAGGUGGAGGAGUAGAGUCUUCUCUAAACUCCCCUGGGGAAAGGGAGACUCUUUCCCGGUCCGCUAAGUAGCGGGUGUUUUUCCUUGACACUAACGCUACCGCUAGACCACGGUCCGCUUGUCAACAGGCGUCUUCCCAGAUGCUGGCGUUACCGCUAGACCAAGGAGCCCUCUGGUGGCCCUGUCUGGGCAUAACAGAAGGCUCGCACUCUUGUCUUCUGGUCACACCUCACUCACUAUGUCCCCUCAGCUCCUAUCUCUGUAUGGCCUAGCUUUUCCUAGGUUAUGAUUAUAGAGCGAGGAUUAUUAUAAUAUUGGAAUAAAGAGUAAUUGCUAUAAACUAAUGAUUCAUGAUUCAUAUAUAAUCAUAUCUAAGAUCUAUGUCUGGUAUAACUAUUCUUAUAUUUUAUUAUACUGGAACAGCUCGUGUCCUCAGUCUCUUGCCUUGGCACCCGGGUGGCUUGCCGCCCACAUGGGGCCAGGCAUGCUGGACCCCCCUCAGUGCACAUGCCAGAGCCCAAUUCUCUCCUGAGUCUGGGGAAAUUGAUGCUGCUGAGGACACCACUGUUCUCAGAGUCGUCUCUGCUCGUGGACUCUUCUCAGCGCAGAUGUAGCACCUG